GGGGGCGACUAGUUUCGACAGGUAUCGCUGAGGUCCGGUUGCAGGUACCGGUUGGCCAGGCCGGUUAAAACAGGGCCAAAACAAUAGUUGGCAACAACUACCAAACCAACUGGGCUACGGCCUAAGUUCCGUUACUCCGCUUUGACGGCGGGCAGAGAUUAACGGUCAAAAGCUGUCUGCUGCGGGGAAGGUUCGUUUAGCCUAACCCCGUUUAAGACAAAUUAAACAAGUAAAGCGGCAGCGGCUUGGGGCAUGCGGCUUUACUCAAACUCCCAAGCUAAACCUGUAGGAACCGAACUGUAUGGAUAUUUGGACGCGGGUGCGAAUCCCGCCGCCUCCACUU
rnacentral:tmRNA from 1 species